rnacentral:rRNA from 1 species
GCUUAACCGGAGAAGUGCAUCGGAAACUGGGAGACUUGAGUGCAGAAGAGGACAGUGGAACUCCAUGUGUAGCGGUGGAAUGCGUAGAUAUAUGGAAGAACACCAGUGGCGAAGGCGGCUGUCUAGUCUGUAACUGACGCUGAGGCUCGAAAGCAUGGGUAGCGAACAGGAUUAGAUACCCUGGUAGUCCAUGCCGUAAACGAUGAGUGCUAAGUGUUGGAGGGUUUCCGCCCUUCAGUGCUGCAGCUAACGCAUUAAGCACUCCGCCUGGGGAGUACGACCGCAAGGUUGAGACUCAAAGGAAUUGACGGGGGCCCGCACAAGCGGUGGAGCAUGUGGUUUAAUUCGAAGCUACGCGAAGAACCUUACCAGGUCUUGACAUCUUCUGCCAAUCUUAGAGAUAAGACGUUCCCUUCGGGGACAGAAUGACAGGUGGUGCAUGGUUGUCGUCAGCUCGUGUCGUGAGAUGUUGGGUUAAGUCCCGCAACGAGCGCAACCCUUAUUAUCAGUUGCCAGCAUUCAGUUGGGCACUCUGGUGAGACUGCCGGUGACAAACCGGAGGAAGGUGGGGAUGACGUCAAAUCAUCAUGCCCCUUAUGACCUGGGCUACACACGUGCUACAAUGGACGGUACAACG